UUUGAGCGUGUCUCCCUUCUCGGGAAAYGCUCUCAACCCCACGAACCCUUGACCUCAAAUCGGGUGAGACUACCCGCUGAACUUAAGCAUA
rnacentral:rRNA from 1 species